GCGAGGCCGAAAGGCGUAGUCGAUGGGAAACAGGUUAAUAUUCCUGUACUUGGUGUUACUGCGAAGGGGGGACGGAGAAGGCUAUGUUGGCCGGGCGACGGUUGUCCCGGUUUAAGCGUGUAGGCUGGUUUUCCAGGCAAAUCCGGAAAAUCAAGGCUGAGGCGUGAUGACGAGGCACUACGGUGCUGAAGCAACAAAUGCCCUGCUUCCAGGAAAAGCCUCUAAGCAUCAGGUAACAUCAAAUCGUACCCCAAACCGACACAGGUGGUCAGGUAGAGAAUACCAAGGCGCUUGAGAGAACUCGGGUGAAGGAACUAGGCAAAAUGGUGCCGUAACUUCGGGAGAA
rnacentral:rRNA from 1 species